AACGAACGCUGGCGGCAGGCCUAACACAUGCAAGUCGAGCGAGGACUUCGGUUCUAGCGGCGGACGGGUGAGUAACGCGUGGGAAUGUUCCCUUCUCUACGGAAUAGCCCUGGGAAACUGGGAGUAAUACCGUAUACGCCCUUUUGGGGAAAGAUUUAUCGGAGAAGGAUCAGCCCGCGUUGGAUUAGGUAGUUGGUUGGGUAAUGGCCUACCAAGCCGACGAUCCAUAGCUGGUUUGAGAGGAUGAUCAGCCACACUGGGACUGAGACACGGCCCAGACUACUACGGGAGGCAGCAGUGGGGAAUCUUAGACAAUGGGGGCAACCCUGAUCUAGCCAUGCCGCGUGAGUGAUGAAGGCCUUAGGGUUGUAAAGCUCUUUCAGCUGGGAAGAUAAUGACGGUAACAGCAGAAGAAGCCCCGGCUAACUCCGUG
rnacentral:rRNA from 1 species